UUGUGUGACAUUUCCUAGAGAGGCA
rnacentral:piRNA from 1 species